rnacentral:rRNA from 1 species
AGAGUUUGAUCAUGGCUCAGGAUGAACGCUAGCUACAGGCUUAACACAUGCAAGUCGAGGGGCAGCAUUGGAGUAGCAAUACUUCAGAUGGCGACCGGCGCACGGGUGAGUAACACGUAUCCAACCUGCCGCUUACUCGGGGAUAGCCUUUCGAAAGAAAGAUUAAUACCCGAUGGUAUAAAGAGUUCGCAUGUUCUCUUUAUUAAAGAAUUUCGGUAAGCGAUGGGGAUGCGUUCCAUUAGAUAGUUGGCGGGGUAACGGCCCACCAAGUCUACGAUGGAUAGGGGGUUCUGAGAGGAAGGUCCCCCACAUUGGAACUGAGACACGGUCCAAACUCCUACGGGAGGCAGCAGUGAGGAAUAUUGGUCAAUGGACGAGAGUCUGAACCAGCCAAAAGUAGCGUGAAGGAUGACUGCCCUAUGGGUUGUAAACUUCUUUUAUAAGGGAAUAAAGUGAGGGACGUGUCCCUUUUUGUAUGUACCUUAUGAAUAAGGAUCGGCUAACUCCGUGCCAGCCGCCGC